rnacentral:rRNA from 1 species
ACGAACGCUGGCGGCGUGCUUCACACAUGCAAGUCGCACGGAAAGGCCCUGCUUUUGUGGGGUGCUCGAGUGGCGAACGGGUGAGUAACACGUGAGUAACCUGCCCUUGACUUUGGGAUAACUUCAGGAAACUGGGGCUAAUACCGGAUAGGAGCUCCUGCUGCAUGGUGGGGGUUGGAAAGUUUCGGCGGUUGGGGAUGGACUCGCGGCUUAUCAGCUUGUUGGUGGGGUAGUGGCUUACCAAGGCUUUGACGGGUAGCCGGCCUGAGAGGGUGACCGGCCACAUUGGGACUGGGAUACGGCCCAGACUCCUACGGGAGGCAGCAGUGGGGAAUAUUGCACAAUGGGCGGAAGCCUGAUGCAGCAACGCCGCGUGCGGGAUGACGGCCUUCGGGUUGUAAACCGCUUUCGCCUGUGACGAAGCGUGAGUGACGGUAAUGGGUAAAGAAGCACCGGCUAACUACGUG